rnacentral:rRNA from 1 species
GACAGAGGGUGCAAACGUUGUUCGGAAUUACUGGGCGUAAAGCGCGUGUAGGCUGCUUCGAAAGUCGGAUGUGAAAGCCCUGGGCUCAACCUAGGAAGUGCAUUCGAAACUUCGAAGCUGAGUUCUGGAGAGGAAGGCGGAAUUCUCGGUGUAGAGGUGAAAUUCGUAGAUAUCGAGAGGAACACCGGUGGCGAAGGCGGCCUUCUGGACAGUGACUGACGCUGAGACGCGAAAGCGUGGGGAGCAAACAGG